UAUGAGAGUUUGAUCCUGGCUCAGGACGAACGCUGGCGGCGUGCCUAAUACAUGCAAGUCGAACGCUUCUUUUUCCACCGGAGCUUGCUCCACCGGAAAAAGAGGAGUGGCGAACGGGUGAGUAACACGUGGGUAACCUGCCCAUCAGAAGGGGAUAACACUUGGAAACAGGUGCUAAUACCGUAUAACAAUCGAAACCGCAUGGUUUUGAUUUGAAAGGCGCUUUCGGGUGUCGCUGAUGGAUGGACCCGCGGUGCAUUAGCUAGUUGGUGAGGUAACGGCUCACCAAGGCCACGAUGCAUAGCCGACCUGAGAGGGUGAUCGGCCACAUUGGGACUGAGACACGGCCCAAACUCCUACGGGAGGCAGCAGUAGGGAAUCUUCGGCAAUGGACGAAAGUCUGACCGAGCAACGCCGCGUGAGUGAAGAAGGUUUUCGGAUCGUAAAACUCUGUUGUUAGAGAAGAACAAGGAUGAGAGUAACUGUUCAUCCCUUGACGGUAUCUAACCAGAAAGCCACGGCUAACUACGUGCCAGCAGCCGCGGUAAUACGUAGGUGGCAAGCGUUGUCCGGAUUUAUUGGGCGUAAAGCGAGCGCAGGCGGUUUCUUAAGUCUGAUGUGAAAGCCCCGGCUCAACCGGGAGGGUCAUUGGAAACUGGGAGACUUGAGUGCAGAAGAGGAGAGUGGAAUUCCAUGUGUAGCGGUGAAAUGCGUAGAUAUAUGGAGGAACACCAGUGGCGAAGGCUCUCUGGUCUGUAACUGACGCUGAGGCUCGAAAGCGUGGGAGCAAACAGGAUUAGAUACCCUGGUAGUCCACGCCGUAAACGAUGAGUGCUAAGUGUUGGAGGGUUUCCGCCCUUCAGUGCUGCAGCUAACGCAUUAAGCACUCCGCCUGGGGAGUACGACCGCAAGGUUGAAACUCAAAGGAAUUGACGGGGGGCCCGCACAAGCGGUGGAGCAUGUGGUUUAAUUCGAAGCAACGCGAAGAACCUUACCAGGUCUUGACAUCCUUUGACCACUCUAGAGAUAGAGCUUCCCCUUCGGGGGCAAAGUGACAGGUGGUGCAUGGUUGUCGUCAGCUCGUGUCGUGAGAUGUUGGGUUAAGUCCCGCAACGAGCGCAACCCUUAUUGUUAGUUGCCAUCAUUCAGUUGGGCACUCUAGCAAGACUGCCGGUGACAAACCGGAGGAAGGUGGGGAUGACGUCAAAUCAUCAUGCCCCUUAUGACCUGGGCUACACACACGUGCUACAAUGGGAAGUACAACGAGUCGCGAAGUCGCGAGGCUAAGCUAAUCUCUUAAAGCUUCUCUCAGUUCGGAUUGCAGGCUGCAACUCGCCUGCAUGAAGCCGGAAUCGCUAGUAAUCGCGGAUCAGCACGCCGCGGUGAAUACGUUCCGGCCUUGUACACACCGCCCGUCACACCACGAGAGUUUGUAACACCCGAAGUCGGUGAGGUAACCUUUUGGAGCCAGCCGCCUAAGGUGGGAUAGAUGAUUGGGGUGAAGUCGUAACAAGGUAGCCGUAUCGGAAGGUGCGGCUGGAUCACCUCCUUU
rnacentral:rRNA from 1 species